CAGCAGCCGCGGUAAUACGUAGGUGGCAGGCGUUGUCCGGAAUUAUUGGGCGUAAAGCGCGCGCAGGCGGAUAGGUCAGUCUGUCUUAAAAGUUCGGGGCUUAACCCCGUGAUGGGAUGGAAGCUGCCAAUCUAGAGUAUCGGAGAGGAAAGUGGAACUCCUAGUGUAGCGGUGAAAUGCGUAGAUAUUAGGAAGAACACCAGUGGCGAAGGCGACUUUCUGGACGAAAACUGACGCUGAGGCGCGAAAGCCAGGGGAGCGAACGGGAUUAGAUACCCCCGUAGUCCCUGUCUCUUAUACA
rnacentral:rRNA from 1 species